CGGGAAACCGGAGCUAAUACCGGAUAAUAUAUUGAACCGCAUGGUUCAAUAGUGAAAGACGGUUUUGCUGUCACUUAUAGAUGGAUCCGCGCUGCAUUAGCUAGUUGGUAAGGUAACGGCUUACCAAGGCAACGAUGCGUAGNCCGACCUGAGAGGGUGAUCGGCCACACUGGAACUGAGACACGGUCCAGACUCCUACGGGAGGCAGCAGCC
rnacentral:rRNA from 1 species